GAGUUUGAUCAUGGCUCAGGAUGAACGCUGACAGAAUGCUUAACACAUGCAAGUCUACUUGAUCCUUCGGGUGAAGGUGGCGGACGGGUGAGUAACGCGUAAAGAACUUGCCUUACAGACUGGGACAACAUUUGGAAACGAAUGCUAAUACCGGAUAUUAUGAUUGGGUCGCAUGAUCUGGUUAUGAAAGCUAUAUGCGCUGUGAGAGAGCUUUGCGUCCCAUUAGUUAGUUGGUGAGGUAACGGCUCACCAAGACGAUGAUGGGUAGCCGGCCUGAGAGGGUGAACGGCCACAAGGGGACUGAGACACGGCCCUUACUCCUACGGGAGGCAGCAGUGGGGAAUAUUGGACAAUGGACCAAAAGUCUGAUCCAGCAAUUCUGUGUGCACGAUGAAGUUUUUCGGAAUGUAAAGUGCUUUCAGUUGGGAAGAAGUCAGUGACGGUACCAACAGAAGAAGCGACGGCUAAAUACGUGCCAGCAGCCGCGGUAAUACGUAUGUCGCAAGCGUUAUCCGGAUUUAUUGGGCGUAAAGCGCGUCUAGGCGGCUUAGUAAGUCUGAUGUGAAAAUGCGGGGCUCAACCCCGUAUUGCGUUGGAAACUGCUAAACUAGAGUACUGGAGAGGUAGGCGGAACUACAAGUGUAGAGGUGAAAUUCGUAGAUAUUUGUAGGAAUGCCGAUGGGGAAGCCAGCCUACUGGACAGAUACUGACGCUAAAGCGCGAAAGCGUGGGUAGCAAACAGGAUUAGAUACCCUGGUAGUCCACGCCGUAAACGAUGAUUACUAGGUGUUGGGGGUCGAACCUCAGCGCCCAAGCUAACGCGAUAAGUAAUCCGCCUGGGGAGUACGUACGCGAGUAUGAAACUCAAAGGAAUUGACGGGGACCCGCACAAGCGGUGGAGCAUGUGGUUUAAUUCGA
rnacentral:rRNA from 1 species